rnacentral:sRNA from 1 species
GUCGCAUCGGUUCGAUAGGGAUACUCAUCAAUAUUUUCUGAAAACCGAGACAGUCUCCUUGUCAAUGGCGGGCCAUUAUGCCCAGUGGCAUAAGCACUUCGGGUGACAUCACAUUGGGUAAGCAGACAUUGCCGAUGGAUUACAAAGACGGGUGACUCUCUAAUCAUAUUCACUCGGAGUUUUCAUCACAUCACUGGUGCGACCUUUU